GGCGAACGCUGGCGGCGUGCCUAACACAUGCAAGUCGAACGGAGUUAUUUUGAUUGAUCCCUUCGGGGUGAUUGAUUUUUAACUUAGUGGCGGACGGGUGAGUAACGCGUGAGUAACCUGCCUUUGAGAGGGGGAUAACGUUCCGAAAAGAACGCUAAUACCGCAUGACAUAUCGAAGCCGCAUGACUUUGAUAUCAAAGAUUUAUCGCUCAAAGAUGGACUCGCGUCCGAUUAGUUAGUUGGUGAGGUAACGGCUCACCAAGACCGCGAUCGGUAGCCGGACUGAGAGGUUGAACGGCCACAUUGGGACUGAGACACGGCCCAG
rnacentral:rRNA from 1 species